UACGAAGGGUGCAAGCGUUACUCGGAAUCACUGGGCGUAAAGCGUGCGUAGGCGGUUCGUUAAGUCUGCUGUGAAAGCCCUGGGCUCAACCUGGGAACUGCAGUGGAUACUGGCGGGCUAGAGUGUGAUAGAGGAUGGUGGAAUUCCCGGUGUAGCGGUGAAAUGCGUAGAGAUCGGGAGGAACACCAGUGGCGAAGGCGGCCAUCUGGAUCAACACUGACGCUGAGGCACGAAAGCGUGGGGAGCAAACAGG
rnacentral:rRNA from 1 species